GGAGAGAUGUCCGAGUGGUCGAAGGAGCACGAUUGGAAAUCGUGUAGGCGGCAAAACCGCCUCGUGGGUUCGAAUCCCACUCUCUCCG
rnacentral:tRNA from 1 species